UCUACAUCUCUCAUGGUCUAUGAAAAGCCUUUUAUUGUUUUCGAUGACCACAAGUGGGUUAAGGUUCUGGGGGUGAACGUUAGCCAGACCACUAAGAUACCAGUCAAGUUCGACGCCUACCCAGAACCUACAGUCAGAUGGUACAAGAAUGGCCAGCCUAUCAGUAAGGAUGACUAUCGAUUUAAACCUGCCAGGGACUCUCACAAUGCUUGAAAUUACUGAGAACGAUGCCUGGAAUUACACCGUGGUCUUGACCGAUAAGAAAAGAAGAGAAGAGUCGCUCUGUCCAGGUCUUGGUCAAUGGGGGUUGCCAUGGACGUCCACAUGUAUGGCAGCAGCCCCACCCUCAGGUGCACCGCCCGUGAAAUCCCCACCCCCCCACACAUCCAAUGGCAAUGGAUGUCCAGAGAGGACUGCCCAAUCAUCUUCCAGUUGUUGAUUCUGUGGAGGAAAAACAGCUGUUGAUGAAAGCAUUAACAGAGACAAUGAGUGUGCCCUCUGACCUGCAUCAGAUAAGUGGAUGUGCUUCAUACUUCUCACAGUCAGGAGUGGUGAACUUUGGGG